GGUAAUAUGGCCGAAAACAGGCAGUGAGCUGUAAACCCACGCAUAGGAAUCAAUCCUUAUUGCCAAG
rnacentral:tRNA from 1 species